CAUCAUGAAGAGCAUCUCGAAGAGGAACUUGAAGACAAUGCAGACAAAGACAUUGAUGUAGAAGAGGCUGGUAAUGAAGAUCCUACGACAAAGAAGAAGAAAAGUAGGCAAACUAAGGGGAUAGUGUGAUUGGCAAAAAUAAUUGCUGGCAAAAACCUAAGGGGAAGAGGCUGGUAAUGAUUUAUAUAUCUCACAAGAAGAUAUAGUCCUGGCUUAAUGGAGGAGAUUAUCGUUAUAUAUCAGGAUUUUAUACUUCCAAUUAGUGAAAAGAGAGACUAGUCACUUUUUUCGUUUUGUUGAGCCAAUUUGGUUAUCAAAUAUUGGAUCCACUGAAGAAGAACGAGUUGAAUGGAUAUCAAAGCGUAUGAUUGAUUCAAAUCCGGAUCAAAUGUGGUUAUUGUCAUAUCAUAAGGGAAACAUUAGAUGCUUAUAAUGUGGAUUCUAUGUUAUGAGCAUGAUGAAAGACUUCGUGACAAAUGAGUUUUCAAUGCGAUGGCUAACUAGUAACUGUGGCGAGAAGAACUCUUACACAAAGGAUGAGAUCAAUAAAGUACGUGAAGAAUGAGCAAAAUGCGUCAUGGAUUUGAUGAGUACUACAUAGGUCUACUCACUUUUGUUAACUUCGACUUUUAAGUAGAUAUGCUUACAAUGUUAACUUAGACUUUCUUGGAGAUAAGUAUAGUUUACAAUGCUUAUAUGAGUAAUUUUGUAAAUAACUCAA